AGACGUCUACAUUAGAUACCCCGGUAGUCCCAGCCGUAAACUAUACGCGUUAGGUGUAUCGGUGACCACGAGUUACCGAGGUGCCGAAGGGAAACCGUGAAACGUGCCGCCUGGGAAGUACGGUCGCAAGGCUGAAACUUAAAGGAAUUGGCGGGGAGCACCACAACAGGUGGAGCCUGCGGUUUAAUUGGACUCAACGCCGGGAAGCUCACCGGAUAGGACAGCAGAAUGAUUGCCGGGCUGAAGACCCUGCAUGACUAGCUG
rnacentral:rRNA from 1 species